rnacentral:rRNA from 1 species
UGAACGCUAGCUACAGGCUUAACACAUGCAAGUCGAGGGGCAGCAUGAACAUAGCUUGCUAUGUUUGAUGGCGACCGGCGCACGGGUGCGUAACACGUAUCCAAUCUGCCCGUUACUCGGGGAUAGCCUUCUGAAAGGAAGAUUAAUACCCGAUGGCAUGUAUUUCCGGCAUCGGAGAUACAUUAAAGAUUUAUCGGUAACGGAUGAGGAUGCGUACGAUUAGCUGGUUGGCGGGGUAACGGCCCACCAAGGCGACGAUCGUUAGGGGUUCUGAGAGGAAGGUCCCCCACACUGGAACUGAGACACGGUCCAGACUCCUACGGGAGGCAGCAGUGAGGAAUAUUGGUCAAUGGUCGAGAGACUGAACCAGCCAAGUAGCGUGAAGGAUGACUGCCCUACGGGUUGUAAACUUCUUUUGUUUGGGAAUAAAUGAUACUACGUGUAGUAUUUUGCAUGUACCUUACGAAUAAGCAUCGGCUAAUUCCGUG